UUUUGGUGUUUUAAAUUAGGGUUAGGAAUUAGGUUCAACAGUGUGUUAGGCAUUAGGUUCAACAGUGUGGUUAGGCAUUAGGUUCAACAGUGUGUUAGGCAUUAGGUUCAACAGUGUGUUAGGCAUUAGGUUCAACAGUGUGGUUAGGCAUUAGGUUCAACAGUGUGUUAGGCAUUAGGUUCAACAGUGUAGUUAGGCAUUAGGUUCAACAGUGUAGUUAGGCAUUAGGUUCAACAGUGUAGUUAGGCAUUCGGUUCAACAGUGUGGUUAGGCAUUAGGUUCAACAGUGUGGUUAGGCAUUAGGUUCAACAGUGUGGUUAGGCAUUAGGUUCAACAGUGUGUUAGGCAUUAGGUUCAACAGUGUGUUAGGCAUUAGGUUCAACAGUGUGGUUAUAGUUAGGCAUUCGGUUCAACAGUGUGGUUAGGCAUUAGGUUCAACAGUGUGUUAGGCAUUAGGUUCAACAGUGUGUUAGGCAUUAGGUUCAACAGUGUAGUUAGGCAUUAGGUUCAAC
ensembl:lncRNA